rnacentral:lncRNA from 1 species
GCACGUGUUACCGUGUCUGCCUGCAUGUAUGUGUGCUUGUUUGUGUUUAUCAAUGUGCGCGUGCGCGCUUUUGUGUCUGCGCUUUGAGAGUGCACAUAUUUGUGUGUGCGUGCGAGUGCGUUUUGUGUGCGUGCGUAUGUAUUGCGUAAGGUCGGUAGAGUUUUACUCGCAGUAAAACUUCAAAUUUGGCGCAGCGAGUGUUCGCGCCUGAAAGCCGAGUUUGGUUUCAAGCCACCCUGGACAGCUGCUGUAUUAGGCGCGGUUUCUCGGGAGGACCAGUGGGAAGGCGUCAGGCCAUGCAGAUGAUAGCAGCAGUUUCACAAUGCCCAGCCUUGGUGCCCUUCAUCAAGAACAAGCCACUUGCGUUCGCCUUCAGACAGAUGGUUGAUGUCUUGGAAGCAGUUGGGAAGACAACAUCGAUGCAAGAUUCCAGCAAUGCCAUGCGCUGCAUUUAUUGGUCAAGAUUCUCAGAGAAUGGAGUCCCUGCAUCUCAGGGUUAACCGUGAACAGUAAGUUU